GCUCCCGUCUCACAGUGUCUCAGAGCCUCGUCUCUUCCCGGUGUCUCCUGGAUCCCAGGCAAGCUGCAGCCAUGAAGACCCCCUGCCUUCUCUUUGCCCUGGUGCUCCUGGUUCUCCACGUCCAGGCCAUGCCCAAUCCGGUGGGUGAGAAGGAUCCCGAGAAGGAAGCAGACAUCUGGGAUGAGGUGAAGGAUGAUGCUGGGGAAGAGGAAGGCGAUGUGGAAGCUGAAGGUGCCGAAGGAGAAAACAGCCCCAUGAUAUGCGGCUUUUCAGGCGGUUCUUGCCGUACAAGUUGCUCUAGCAAUGAAGUGAUGGCUGGCAAGUGUUACGGCAGCUAUCUUUGCUGUGUACCCAGAUAAAAGUCCUGAUGAGGGACAGUGGAGACAUCCAGACAGAGGCUUCAAUGCAAUACCUGCCUCAGAUAGAGCCACAUCAAUGAGCUCUCACGUCCUCUUCAUUUUAUUAAAUCUUAACCUGGUGGUGAUA